rnacentral:rRNA from 1 species
GACGAACGCUGGCGGCGUGCUUAACACAUGCAAGUCGAACGGUGAUCUUGGGAGCUUGCUCUUGGGUGAUCAGUGGCGAACGGGUGAGUAACACGUGAGUAACCUGCCCCUGACUCUGGAAUAACUUCGGGAGACCGAAGCUAAUACCGGAUACGACACAGAGCUGCAUGGCUACUGUGUGGAAAGUUUUUCGGUUGGGGAUGGACUCGCGGCCUAUCAGCUUGUUGGUGAGGUAAUGGCUCACCAAGGCGACGACGGGUAGCCGGCCUGAGAGGGCGAUCGGCCACCCUGGGACUGAGACACGGCCCAGACUCCUACGGGAGGCAGCAGUGGGGAAUAUUGCACAAUGGGCGAAAGCCUGAUGCAGCGACGCCGCGUGAGGGAUGAAGGCCUUCGGGUUGUAAACCUCUUUCAGUAGGGAAGAAGCGCAAGUGACGGUACCUACAGAAGAAGCACCGGCUAACUACGUGCCAGCCGCCGCCGUAA